rnacentral:rRNA from 1 species
GAGCAAUCUGUGUGACUGCGUACCUUUUGUAUAAUGGGUCAGCGACUUAUAUUCUGUAGCAAGGUUAACCGAAUAGGGGAGCCGAAGGGAAACCGAGUCUUAACUGGGCGUUAAGUUGCAGGGUAUAGACCCGAAACCCGGUGAUCUAGCCAUGGGCAGGUUGAAGGUUGGGUAACACUAACUGGAGGACCGAACCGACUAAUGUUGAAAAAUUAGCGGAUGACUUGUGGCUGGGGGUGAAAGGCCAAUCAAACCGGGAGAUAGCUGGUUCUCCCCGAAAGCUAUUUAGGUAGCGCCUCGUGAAUUCAUCUCCGGGGGUAGAGCACUGUUUCGGCAAGGGGGUCAUCCCGACUUACCAACCCGAUGCAAACUGCGAAUACCGGAGAAUGUUAUCACGGGAGACACACGGCGGGUGCUAACGUCCGUCGUGAAGAGGGAAACAACCCAGACCGCCAGCUAAGGUCCCAAAGUCAUGGUUAAGUGGGAAACGAUGUGGGAAGGCCCAGACAGCCAGGAUGUUGGCUUAGAAGCAGCCAUCAUUUAAAGAAAGCGUAAUAGCUCACUGGUCGAGUCGGCCUGCGCGGAAGAUGUAACGGGGCUAAACCAUGCACCGAAGCUGCGGCAGCGACGCUGAUGCGUUGUUGGGUAGGGGAGCGUUCUGUAAGCCUGUGAAGGUGUGCUGUGAGGCAUGCUGGAGGUAUCAGAAGUGCGAAUGCUGACAUAAGUAACGAUAAAGCGGGUGAAAAGCCCGCUCGCCGGAAGACCAAGGGUUCCUGUCCAACGUUAAUCGGGGCAGGGUGAGUCGACCCCUAAGGCGAGGCCGAAAGGCGUAGUCGAUGGGAAACAGGUUAAUAUUCCUGUACUUGGUGUUACUGCGAAGGGGGGACGGAGAAGGCUAUGUUGGCCGGGCGACGGUUGUCCCGGUUUAAGCGUGUAGGCUGGUUUUCCAGGCAAAUCCGGAAAACUAAGGCUGAGGCGUGAUGACGAGGCACUACGGUGCUGAAGCAACAAAUGCCCUGCUUCCAGGAAAAGCCUCUAAGCAUCAGGUAACAUCAAAUCGUACCCCAAACCGACACAGGUGGUCAGGUAGAGAAUACCAAGGCGCUUGAGAGAACUCGGGUGAAGGAACUAGGCAAAAUGGUGCCGUAACUUCGGGAGAAGGCACGCUGAUAUGUAGGUGAAGUCCCUCGCGGAUGGAGCUGAAAUCAGUCGAAGAUACCAGCUGGCUGCAACUGUUUAUUAAAAACACAGCACUGUGCAAACACGA